GGCCCUUCCUGUCACGUGGCUGACUGGAGGCGGCCGGCGAGGAAGGCCGGGCAGGGAGGGAAGGAGGAAAUGCGCGGGUGCCCCGAUAGGGCGGAAGCGCCCGGGGGCUCCCUCACAGUCUGUCAAGGGGGCCCUCGGCCCAGAAGAGCGAGGUGGGGUGGAGGAGGAGCAGAGGAGCUAAAGGCCUAAAGAUGUGGCAGCCACCAAGACGCCGCCCUCCCCUCUCCCCACGAAGGGGCGAAAUCCAGGCUGUGGGAGUAGAGUCACAGAAAAUUUAGCGAGAAGUGUGAUGCCAGAUAAGCUGAAGAGAGUCACUUCAGAGAUAGCAGUCACCAGAAGGAAAAGGCACAGGGUGACAAAGGGGUACUGUGGACCAGGAAAGGCAGUCACUGACAGUGAGCGAUGAAAACCCAAACAGCUACCUGUUUGUGGCCUGGAAAGCAGUCGAGGACAGCCCAAAGCCUUGGGACCCUGCACUGGUGUGGGAGACCCAGAAGAAGCUCCUGGCUACUGGCUUUGGAUUGGCACAGCUCUGGCCAUUGCAGGCAUUUGGGAAGUGAAUCAAUGGAUGGAAGAUUUUCCUGUCUGUAUCUC